rnacentral:ncRNA from 2 species
CGAAUCGCAGCGGGAGAGUUCGCGACCAGCCAGUCGCGGCGCCGAAGGAGCAACUUCUCCCCAGAAUCUCUCAGGCCCCCAUGACCGUUGCGAUGAG